rnacentral:rRNA from 1 species
GACGAACCGUGCGAACGUUGUUCGGAAUCACUGGGCUUAAAGGGCGCGUAGGCGGCUCGCGAGGUCGGGGGUGAAAUCCCACAGCUUAACUGUGGAAGCGCCUUCGAUACCGGCGGGCUCGAGGAAGGUAGGGGUGCGCGGAACUUCUGGUGGAGCGGUGAAAUGCGUUGAUAUCAGAAGGAACGCCGGCGGCGAAAGCGGCGCACUGGAUCUUUUCUGACGCUGAGGCGCGAAAGCCAGGGGAGCAAACGGG